UGGGGAAUAUUGGACAAUGGGCGCAAGCCUGAUCCAGCCAUGCCGCGUGAGUGAUGAAGGCCCUAGGGUUGUAAAGCUCUUUCACCGGUUAAGAUAAUGACGGUAACCGGAGAAGAAGCCCCGGCUAACUUCGUGCCAGCAGCCGCGGUAAUACGAAGGGGGCUAGCGUUGUUCGGAUUUACUGGGCGUAAAGCGCACGUAGGCGGACUAUUAAGUCAGGGGAGAAAUCCCGGGGCUCAACCCCGGAACUGCCUUUGAUACUGGUAGUCUUGAGUUCGAGAGAGGUGAGUGGAAUUCCGAGUGUAGGAGUGAAAUUCGUAGAUAUUCGGGGGAACACCAGUAACGAAGGCGGCUCACUGGCUCGAUACAGACGCUGAGGUGCGAAAGCAUGGGGAGCAAACAGG
rnacentral:rRNA from 1 species